UUUCAUUUCAUUUCAUAAGAAUUUUGAGAGAGGUAGAGAGAGAAAGUUCAAGAGAAGAGAAAAGGAAUAGAAGGGAGAAAAGUUUGAAGACCCAAGAGGUGAUAGAGAUUCUAGGAGCUAAAUUGAAAUUUUUGUUAGGAUUAUUGCUAAUUGAGGUAAGGGGUUAGAUUUCAAUCAUAAUCAAUUAGUUGUAAUUUUUUCCUAAUUGUAUGCUUAAGUGCUUAUUUUGCUCUUAGUUGUUGAAAUUCGUACUCUUGUUAUGAUGAUAUGUUUGAAUACAUAAAAUUGGUGAUAAUAUAAUUGUUGUUGGUGAAAUUGCAUGUUCAUAGUAUGUGAAGAUGAUAUAUUGUGAGUUGUGCUCUAAUUGUUGAAUUGUGCUAUGUUGUUGUUGAAUUGUGAUGAGAAUCAUGUUUAACUGAUGUUGUUGUUGUUAAGAGAUAUUGUUGUUGAUGAUUCAUUGCUUGAGUGUUCAAAAAUCAUGAGUUUGUGAUGUGAAAUAAGUUGUUGUUGUUGGUUUUGUGAAAAUGGGUUGAUUUGGUGAAUUAUGUUUAAAUGACAUUUGUUUUCAUGUGUUCUUGAGAGUCCUUUUAAGUGUUAUGAUCUGUAAACAAACUUUGGAAACAUAUUUGGGCGUUGGGAGAUCAAAAUUGGGAAUUUUGGAUGAAAAAGGGUUGAAACCCGAAAGUUUUUCUACAGAACUGAUGCCUGUUCGCUUAAGCGAACGGUAAGCGAACAAUCACAGUAAGUUCUGGAACUUGGUCGCUUAAGAGAACGGUAAGCGAACAACUACUGUAAGCUUCUGGAGCUUGGUCGCUUAAGCGAACAGAAUGAACGGUUAAGCGAACUAGCCCAGUUUCAGCAACUUUUGAUUUUUGUUCCGGGCUUUAGGGGGCCAAUCCGAGCUUUGUAAAACACUUAUUUCAACUUGUUUAAUCUCUGUUUGAACUCUUACACCUACUGGAACAUGAUUUACUCAUUCAAAUUUGGGAUUUUCUAUUUUGGUUGAAACUUGAACUUUUGAUAAUUUCGGUUUUGUCGGAAAUGAACUUUUGUGAACCAACAUGGAUUACAAGUUUGGUCUACGGUCCCUGUGGACUUAGGCAAGGCUUGUAAAGUUGGUUAAAUGUCUUAAUCAUGUCAAACUUGAUUUUCGGGUGGGAAUGUGGAAAAUGUGAACUUGGGGUUUUCUCAUACGAACUUAGGCUAAUCUUUGAACUAAUGUUUGAUAGUUCGUAAGUGGCUUAAACUCAUGAUUACAUGAUUGAUUAAAAUUGAUUUGUGAGUUUUCAAACUUGAAUAAGUUACUUUGCUUUGAAAAUUAUCAACGUUGGCCGUUUGCCACUUGAUACGGACUUUGUCGAAAAUGAUUCUUUAAAGCCGUUUAACUUAUAAAUCUUUCGUGAAUAGCUUUGUAUGAUUAAAUGAAGUUAUGUGAGUGACUUAUUAGGUGUUGGAUAUGAUGUUCAUCAUAAGGUGUUGUAUUUCAUCUUUACUUGGAAUGUGGGAAAUUCAUGUAUUGAUAUUGAAUUAUGUGAAGAAGAUGAUAAUUAUAGAUGCAUAUAUAUUGAUUAAUUAUGAUGUUGCUGGUGAAUAUAUAUAUAUAUAUAUAUAUAUAUAUAUAUAUAUAUAUAUAUAUGUUGAGAUAUAUGUUUAUGCAUACAUGAUUGAUGGUGACGGAUUUUAUAUCCAAUGUGGUGAAUUAUUUGUGUGAACAUAUGCAUUGUUGUUGAGAUAUAUGUUUAUGCAUACAUGACUGAUGGUGACGGAUUUUAUAUCCAAAGUAGUGAAUGGUUUGUGUGAACAUAUGCAUUGUUGUCGAGUCAUAUGUUCAUGCAUUCAUGACUGAUGGUGACAGAUUUUAUAUCCAAUUGAGGUGAUUAUGAUGUUCAGUUGGCAUCAUGGGGUGACGGCCUAGACGUUGGUGAUGACGAUACCGCAUGCAUCUAGAAGAGUCUAGAACAUUGCAUGCAUUUGAAUAAUUGAUGAGUCGUGUCAUAAAUGAAUAUGUGACUUGGUUGAUUGUGCAUUGGUGAAAUUUGGUGAAUGUUGUGAUUAUGUGGAUUGGUGUAUAUGUGCAUUGGUGGAUUUUGUUGAUGGUUGUAAAUAAUUGAGCUAUGCUCUAAUUGCAUGCCUUACUUGUUUGUGGUUAUAUACUUGAUAAAUCACUUUGAUGAUAAUUGUUUUGAUAAUAAUGAUGAGAUGAGAAUUGCAUAUGUAUGUAUAUGACUUAGUGAUUCCUUUGACAAUGAUGAUUGCUUGCUUAUAACUUUGAAAUGAUGAAUUGCAUUUGUUGAGUUAAGUAUGAUAAAUGAAAAAUAAUGUGAGUAAUCCUUUCAUUGAUUGAUGUUGAUAAUGAUGAGCUUAUGUCGAUGACUUGAUUAGAGAUUGAAUAUGCUUGCUAUGCUAUGUUAGUAAUAUGAUAGCUUGAGGUGUAUGCAAUGAGGGAUAUUAAUCAUGUGAUGCUAGUAUUCUAGAAGGGAUGGUUAUAUAUAUAUAUAUAUAUAUAUAUAUAUAUAUAUAUAUAUAUAUAUAUAUAUAUAUAUAUAUAUAUAUAUAUGUCAUGCAUGAUAUCCUUGAAUGCUUGUGUUUGUUUAUGUUGAUUUUGAUUGAUGUAAAGCUUACCCCAGUGGUUUUGACCGCCUACCUGUCUGUAUGGAUGAGUAGACGAAGUGCAGGAUUAAUUUGCUUUUGGUGAGUUGUCUGGUGAUUGCUUGGAUAGCGGGAGCUAUCUCCGUUAUUGUUUCCUUUGAGUCUUAGGGUAGGCUCUGAUCUAAGAUGUAUGUCUUUAUGAUUAUUCUAGAUUGUUUAUUCUGGAUUUAUUUAUGUUGUGGAUAUUUGCCCAUUUGUCGGGAUUUUAAGAUUUUAUAUGAUGAUGUAUAUUGAUCUUAUGACAUCUAUAUUUUGGAGAUGUAU
rnacentral:lncRNA from 1 species